AGAGAGAGAGAGAGAGAGAAACUUAUAGGAUACGAAAUGGAAGUUUGGAAUUGGAGUUACAGAACAGAGAAAGAAAGAGGGAAGAUUGAGCUGUGUUUGUGUUGAUAUAUUUGGGCGUGCCUUUUUGGCUCGCUUUUCCAGUACGCUGUGUAUACAGUUCCGGAUUCGAAAUUUUCUGUGGAUUUAAUUUUAUACAAGCGCGUGGAUUCCG
rnacentral:misc_RNA from 1 species